rnacentral:rRNA from 1 species
UCCUACGGGAGGCAGCAGUGAGGAAUAUUGGACAAUGGAUGGAAAUCUGAUCCAGCCAUGCCGCGUGCAGGAAGACGGCCUUAUGGGUUGUAAACUGCUUUUAUACGGGAGCAAUAAGGGUUACGAGUAAUCCGAUGAGAGUACUGUAUGAAUAAGGAUCGGCUAACUCCGUGCCAGCAGCCGCGGUAAUACGGAGGAUCCGAGCGUUAUCCGGAAUUAUUGGGUUUAAAGGGUGCGUAGGCGGCCAUUUAAGUCAGCGGUGAAAUUUUGCAGCUUAACUGUAACAGUGCCGUUGAUACUGUUUGGCUAGGAUUUGGUUGUAGUGUGCGGAAUGUGUGGUGUAGCGGUGAAAUGCUUAGAUAUCACACAGAACACCGAUUGCGAAGGCAGCACACUAAGUCAUUAUUGACGCUGAGGCACGAAAGUGUGGGGAUCAAACAGGAUUAGAUACCCUGGUAGUCCACACUGUAAACGAUGAUAACUCGCUGUCGGCGAUACACAGUCGGUGGCCAAGCGAAAGCAUUAAGUUAUCCACCUGGGGAGUACGACCGCAAGGUUGAAACUCAAAGGAAUUGACGGGGGCCCGCACAAGCGGAGGAACAUGUGGUUUAAUUCGAUGAUACGCGAGGAACCUUACCCGGGCUCGAACGGUGCAUGAAUAUACGAGAGAUUGUAUAGUCCUUCGGGACAUGUAUCGAGGUGCUGCAUGGUUGUCGUCAGCUCGUGCCGUGAGGUGUCGGCUUAAGUGCCAUAACGAGCGCAACCCUUGUCAUUAGUUGCCAUCAGGUCAAGCUGGGGACUUUAAUGAGACUGCCACCGUAAGGUGUGAGGAAGGGGGGGAUGACGUCAAAUCAGCACGGCCCUUAUGUCCGGGGCGACACACGUGUUACAAUGGGAGGUACAGAGGGCAGCUAUCCGGUGACGGAAUGCUAAUCUCCAAAACCUUUCUCAGUUCGGAUUGGAGUCUGCAACUCGACUCCAUGAAGGUGGAUUCGCUAGUAAUCGCGCAUCAGCCAUGGCGCGGUGAAUACGUUCCCGGGCCUUGUACACACCGCCCGUCAAGCCAUGGAAGCUUGGGGUGCCUGAAGUUCGUGACCGCAAGGAGCGACCUAAGGCAAAACAGGUAACUGGGGCUAAGUCGUAACAAGGUAACCA